ACUUAUAAAGCCAGUAUUUAUACAAACGUUCGCGUAAUACUGAUCAAUUCAAUCCCUACCACCUCACUCUGAGCUACUGAGCGAGUCAAGACACAAAAACUCCACCUGUGGCUAAUUAUCUGGCAAACGAAAUCACUGGACAAACUGCUCUCUGUUCAGGGACUGUAAAGUCGGAGAUACACAGAGACACUUUGUAUGGCAUCGUUUACAGGAAGAGGCUCAGUCUCCCCUUGCAGUUAACGGAAUUAUGGUUAAUGGUGUUCAGGAAGUCAGAGAAAUACUUAAGAGGUUUGAAAGAUACGAAAUGGG